AGAACAGAUAGAGGUGCGGUAAUGAAUAGUACCUGACAGCAAAGUGUUUUUAUCUUAAACGGUGUUUCCCCAAGCGCCGCGGCUGCUGUCAGCGAAAGGCUAAACCGCCGAAGCGUGCGUAAGGGGCGCAUGGCUGACUGCAGGUCUAAGAGAUAUGCAGUUGUCAUCAUUACUUUAUGGUGGAGUGCUAUCGGCAUU
rfam:Ruminococcus sp. CAG:579 genomic scaffold, scf180